UUGCCUUACAGACUGGGACAACAUUUGGAAACGAAUGCUAAUACCGGAUAUUAUGACUGAGUCGCAUGAUUUGGUUAUGAAAGCUAUAUGCGCUGUGAGAGAGCUUUGCGUCCCAUUAGUUAGUUGGUGAGGUAACGGCUCACCAAGACGAGGAUGGGUAGCCGGCCUGAGAGGGUGAACGGCCACAAGGGGACUGAGACACGGCCCUUACUCCUACGGGAGGCAGCAGUGGGGAAUAUUGGACAAUGGACCAAAAGUCUGAUCCAGCAAUUCUGUGUGCACGAUGAAUUUUUCGGAAUGUAAAGUGCUUUCAGUUGGGAAGAAGUCAGUGACCGGUACCAACAGAAGAAGCGGCGGCUAAAUACGUGCCAGCAGCCGCGGUAAUACGUAUGUCGCAAGCGUUAUCCGGAUUUAUUGGGCGUAAAGCGCGUCUAGGCGGUUUAGUAAGUCUGAUGUGAAAAUGCGGGGCUCAACCCCGUAUUGCGUUGGAAACUGCUAAACUAGAGUACUGGAGAGGUAGGCGGAACUACAAGUGUAGAGGUGAAAUUCGUAGAUAUUUGUAGGAAUGCCGAUGGGGAAGCCAGCCUACUGGACAGAUACUGACGCUAAAGCGCGAAAGCGUGGGUAGCAAACAGGAUUAGAUACCCUGGUAGUCCACGCCGUAAACGAUGAUUACUAGGUGUUGGGGGUCGAACCUCAGCGCCCAAGCUAACGCGAUAAGUAAUCCGCCUGGGGAGUACGUACGCAAGU
rnacentral:rRNA from 1 species